rnacentral:rRNA from 1 species
GGACUGAGACACGGCCCAGACUCCUACGGGAGGCAGCAGUGGGGAAUAUUGCGCAAUGGGGGAAACCCUGACGCAGCAACGCCGCGUGGAGGAUGAAGGUUUUCGGAUUGUAAACUCCUUUGAUGAGGGACGAAAAAUGACGGUACCUCAAAAACAAGCCACGGCUAACUACGUGCCAGCAGCCGCGGUAAUACGUAGGUGGCGAGCGUUGUCCGGAAUUACUGGGUGUAAAGGGCGUGUAGGCGGGAUUUUAAGUCAGAUGUGAAAUUCUUGGGCUCAACCCAAGCGCUGCAUCUGAAACUGAGGUUCUUGAGUGCUGGAGAGGAUAGGGGAAUUCCUAGUGUAGCGGUGAAAUGCGUAGAUAUUAGGAGGAACACCAGUGGCGAAGGCGGCUAUCUGGACAGUAACUGACGCUGAGGCGCGAAAGCGUGGGGAGCAAACAGGAUUAGAUACCCUGGUAGUCCACGCUGUAAACGAUGGAUACUAGGUGUAGGAGGUAUCGACCCCUCCUGUGCCGCAGUUAACACAAUAAGUAUCCCACCUGGGGAGUACGGCCGCAAGUUUGAAACUCAACGGAAUUGACGGGGGCCCGCACAAGCAGUGGAGUAUGUGGUUUAAUUCGAAGCAACGCGAAGAACCUUACCAGGGCUUGACAUCCCUUGACGACGUGAGAGAUCACGUUUCCCUUCGGGGCAAGGAGACAGGUGGUGCAUGGUUGUCGUCAGCUCGUGUCGUGAGAUGUUGGGUUAAGUCCCGCAACGAGCGCAACCCUUAUUGUUAGUUGCCAGCAUGUAAUGAUGGGCACUCUAGCGAGACUGCCGGUGACAAAUCGGAGGAAGGUGGGGACGACGUCAAAUCAUCAUGCCCCUUACGUCCUGGGCUACACACGUACUACAAUGGCUAUUACAGAAGGAAGCGAAGUCGUAAGGCGGAGCAAAUCCCCAAAAGUAGCCCCAGUUCAGAUUGUGGGCUGCAACUCGCCCACAUGAAGUCGGAAUUGCUAGUAAUGGCAGGUCAGCAUACUGCCGUGAAUACGUUCCCGGGCCUUGUACACACCGCCCGACACACCAUGAGAGUCUGUAACACCCGAAGUCAGUAGACUAACCGUAAGGAGGUCGCUGCCGAAGGUGGGACCGAUGAUUGGGGUGAAGUCGGAACAAGGUAGCCGUAUCGGAAGGUGCGGCUG